rnacentral:rRNA from 1 species
GGGGAAUAUUGGACAAUGGGCGAAAGCCUGAUCCAGCCAUGCCGCGUGAGUGAUGAAGGCCUUAGGGUUGUAAAGCUCUUUCAGUAGGGAAGAUAAUGACGGUACCUACAGAAGAAGCCCCGGCUAACUUCGUGCCAGCAGCCGCGGUAAUACGAAGGGGGCUAGCGUUGUUCGGAUUUACUGGGCGUAAAGCGCACGUAGGCGGAUCGUUAAGUCGGGGGUGAAAUCCUGGAGCUCAACUCCAGAACUGCCUUCGAUACUGGCGAUCUUGAGUCCGGAAGAGGUGAGUGGAACUCCUAGUGUAGAGGUGGAAUUCGUAGAUAUUAGGAAGAACACCAGUGGCGAAGGCGGCUCACUGGUCCGGUACUGACGCUGAGGGGCGAAAGCGUGGGGAGCAAAC